AAAUAAGAAGCAAAUUUUGCAGCUAAUUUCGACCUAGCCUUAGGUUAUUUUAACCCUUAUUUA
rnacentral:tRNA from 1 species